rnacentral:rRNA from 1 species
GACGAACGCUGGCGGCGUGCUUAACACAUGCAAGUCGAACGGAAAGGCCCUGCUUUUGUGGGGUUCUCGAGUGGCGAACGGGUGAGUAACACGUGAGUAACCUGCCCUUGACUUUGGGAUAACUUCAGGAAACUGGGGCUAAUACCUGAUAGGAGCUCCUGCUGCAUGGUGGGGGUUGGAAAGUUUCGGCGGUUGGGGAUGGACUCGCGGCUUAUCAGCUUGUUGGUGGGGUAGUGGCUUACCAAGGCUUUGACGGGUAGCCGGCCUGAGAGGGUGACCGGCGACAAUGGGACUGAGAUACGGCGCAGACUACUACGGGAGGCAGCAGUGGGGAAUAUUGCACAAUGGGCGGAAGCCUGAUGCAGCAACGCCGCGUGCGGGAUGACGGCCUUCGGGUUGUAAACCGCUUUCGCCUGUGACGAAGCGUGAGUGACGGUAAUGGGUAAAGAAGCACCGGCUAACUACGUG